rnacentral:lncRNA from 1 species
AAUCCCUAGGUUGGCCUUGAAGUCAUUAUGGAGACCAGACCGUCUAAGAAGUCAUGAUCCUCCAGCCUGAAUAUCCCAAGCGUUAGGAUUAUAGAUAUGCACCACUGAGCCUGGUUCAGGGUUUGGCUGUUACAUGCUUCCAGAAGAGCUUAGGUAUCAGUUUAGGUAGGGAUCCAUGUCCGUGCUUGGCGGUUCCUAAAGUGUGAACAAGCUACCUCUUACCUCUUAUCCCUCAGGGCUAUUGUGGGAUAUUUGCCAGAGAAGACUGCUCAGGCAUGGGUUUAAGCCAAUAGAAAGUCUUCAUUGGCCAGCCAGCGACUACACUGGGUGUUUGGGAUCCCUUUGUAGCAUUAAGUCUUUCUCAGGGUGAGCUUUUAAAGCACCAAAACAAACAAACAAGCAAACAAACAAACCUAUGUUCUGACAUAUUUUAGUUAACAGGAACAAUUAGCCAGAGCAAAACUACAGAAGCCAUAAAGCAAGGUUAGUACAGUUUGAGACUUUCCCAGAACUGUGGUCUUUGAUGGGUUAGGUCUUUGUUGUAGUUUUGGCAGGUGUUGUCAUCUACGGGCUGAGUUUUGUAGCCUGAACAGCACUUCCACAAUGGAGUCAGUUGUGAACCCUUAACUGCCUAGAACUCCUCAGAGAGGCCGAAGGCUUCAUGAGCCCCGCCCACCGACCUGUGAUGGGCAGUGACCAGACCCAAUCUGGUGCAAGUUUUUAUUCACC